rnacentral:rRNA from 1 species
UACGUAGGGACCAAGCGUUGUUCGGAUUUACUGGGCGUAAAGGGUGCGUAGGCGGCAAUUCAAGUCAUCUGUGAAAUCUCCGGGCUUAACUCGGAACGGUCAGGUGAUACUGCUUUGCUAGAGUGCAGAAGGGGCAAUCGGAAUUCUUGGUGUAGCGGUGAAAUGCGUAGAUAUCAAGAGGAACACCUGAGGUGAAGACGGGUUGCUGGGCUGACACGUGACGCUGGAGGCGCGAAAGCUAGGGGAGCAAACGGG